rnacentral:rRNA from 1 species
AGCUCCAAUAGCGUAUAUUAAAGUUGUUGCGGUUAAAAAGCUCGUAGUUGGAUUUCUGCCGAGGACGACCGGUCCGCCUCUGGGUGUGUAUCUGGCUCGGCCUGGGCAUCUUCUUGGAGAACGUAGCUGCACUUGAUUGUGUGGUGUGGUAUCCAAGACUUUUACUUUGAGGAAAUUAGAGUGUUUCAAGCAGGCACACG